AGCUAGCGGCACGCCAGACGCGCCACAUGCAUGCGUCAUUCGCCAGACAUGCCACCGAAGCGAGCGAGGCCGGCUGCGCAUGUGAAGCUCGCCUGCUCGGCGACCCGUCUUUUUUGGAUGUAGCCCGUUCGUUGGACUCACUGCGUUUUCUUGCGUUCCGUCUGCAUUUCUACACGGCACUGCUGCGCUACCGGGCUACAGCAAGCUGAUGGCAUCCGAUGGAGCUUCGUAUGGCAACGACUGCUGCUUACCUGGUGCCACAACUUUGGAUGAAUGCACAAGAAGCCCGGAACGAGCAUUUAUAUAGAGCAAAAUAAACAUGUCGGAAGA
rnacentral:lncRNA from 1 species